rnacentral:rRNA from 1 species
AAGGUAUUGUAAUAAGAUUUUAAUUGAAUGCUAAAAGAAUGGAAAUUUAAAAAAAAACUUUUUUAAAAAUAAAAAUUGAAUUUUUUUUAAUUUGUGCAAAAACAAUUAUACUUAUUAAAGACAAGAAGACCCUAAGAAUUUAAGAUUUUACAAUUAAAAAGUUUUUUUUUAAAAUCUUGAUUGGGGCGAUCAAAAAAUAUUAAUAACUUUUUAAAAUUUAAAUUGAUCUAUUAUUAAUAAACUAAUGAAUUAAAUACUCUAGGGAUAACAGCGUAAUAAUUUUUGAUAGAUCUUAUUGACAAAAUAGUUUGCGACCUCGAUGUUGGAUUAGGAUUCUUUUUUAAUGAAGAAGUAAAAAAAGAAGUUUGUUCAACUUUUAAAUUCCU